rnacentral:rRNA from 1 species
GACGUAGGGCGCGAGCGUUGUCCGGAUUUAUUGGGCGUAAAGAGCUCGUAGGCGGUUUGUCGCGUCGGGAGUGAAAACCAUGAGCUUAACUCAUGGCUUGCUUUCGAUACGGGCAGGCUAGAGGCUGGUAGGGGCAAGCGGAAUUCCUGGUGUAGCGGUGAAAUGCGCAGAUAUCAGGAGGAACACCGGUGGCGAAGGCGGCUUGCUGGGCCAGUUCUGACGCUGGAGGAGCGAAAGCGUGGGGAGCGAACAGG